ensembl:piRNA 21ur-6878 ncRNA
UUUCCUUGCUCUUUGAAGUUU